rnacentral:lncRNA from 13 species
UUGUUCCAGUAUAGAGAUUGUGUUGUCUGUCCUGCUGGGAGGGAGUUGGAAGUAGGGGUGAUGGGGCCAUACUGUUGGAAAGGGGCUCUGGGGUGGAGAGGCAUGGAUAAGAGUGGAGGUUUAAGUGGGGGCAUUGAUGCCUGGGUGCUCUCCGGUUUGAGGUGGGGAUGUACUGAGGCUUUGGAGUGGAGGCGUUAGUGGUAGGGAUGGGGCUUUGAUGGGUGUUGGGGGUAUUUUGGGAUGGGGACCAGGGUGGUGCUGGUUAAGUGCUCAGUGCUGUGUCCUGGGCCUCAGAAGGUUGGGAGGGGAGAGGGGUUGUCCUAGGACUCAGAAGGUUGGGAGGGGUGAGGGGUUGUCCUGUCACCUACACUCUACAGACACCACAGAGUUCUGAGAGGAGGAAGAGGACGACACAGGAGUGUCGGCUAGCGUCAACAUCACUGCUGCUGUUAGAGAGCUGGAGGACGGGGACGAGGAAGAGGAGGAGGAGGAAGACGCUGCCACCAUACCUGGAGAGAAGAAACAACAUGGUGGUCAGAAACAACAUGGUGGUCAGAAACAACAUGGUGGUCAGAUGGAGCAGAAACAACAUGGUGGUCAGAUGGAGCAGAAACAACAUGGUGGUCAGAUGGAGCAGAAACAACAUGGUGGUCAGAUGGAGCAGAAACAACAUGGUGGUCAGAUGGAGCAGAAACAACAUGGUG